rnacentral:rRNA from 1 species
ACCCAGCGACGCCGCGUGCGGGAUGAAGGCCUUCGGGUUGUAAACCGCUUUCAGCAGGGAAGAAGCGAAAGUGACGGUACCUGCAAAAGAAGCACCGGCUAACUAUGUGCCAGCAGCCGCGGUAAUACAUAGGGUGCAAGCGUUGUCCGGAAUUAUUGGGCGUAAAGAGUUCGUAGGUGGUUCGUUACGUCGGAUGUGAAAAUCUGGGGCUCAACCCCAGACCUGCAUUCGAUACGGGCGAGCUAGAGUUUGGUAGGGGAGACUGGAAUUCCUGGUGUAGCGGUGGAAUGCGCAGAUAUCAGGAGGAACACCAAUGGCGAAGGCAGGUCUCUGGGCCAAUACUGACACUGAGGAACGAAAGCGUGGGGAGCGAACAGGAUUAGAUACCCUGGUAGUCCACGCCGUAAACGGUGGGCGCUAGUUGUGGGGACCUUCCACGGUCUCUGCGACGCAGCUAACGCAUUAAGCGCCCCGCCUGGGGAGUACGAUCGCAAGAUUAAAACUCAAAGGAAUUGACGGGGCCCCGCACAAGCAGCGGAGCAUGCGGCUUAAUUCGACGCAACGCGAAGAACCUUACCAAGGCUUGACAUAUAGGGAAAAGCGGCAGAGAUGUCGUGUCCGCAAGGGCUCUAUACAGGUGGUGCAUGGUUGUCGUCAGCUCGUGUCGUGAGAUGUUGGGUUAAGUCCCGCAACGAGCGCAACCCUCGUUCUGUGUUGCCAGCAUUUAGUUGGGGACUCACAGGAGACUGCCGGGGUUAACUCGGAGGAAGGUGGGGAUGACGUCAAAUCAUCAUGCCCCUUAUGUCUUGGG